rnacentral:rRNA from 1 species
AAUGGGGGAAACCCUGAUCCAGCCAUGCCGCGUGGAUGAAGAAGGCCCUAGGGUUGUAAAGUCCUUUCGCUAGGGAAGAUAAUGACGGUACCUAGAUAAGAGGCCCCGGCUAAUUUCGUGCCAGCAGCCGCGGUAAUACGGAAGGGGCUAGCGUUGUUCGGAAUUACUGGGCGUAAAGCGCACGUAGGCGGCCUGCCAAGUUAGGGGUGAAAUCCCGGAGCUCAACUCCGGAACUGCCCUUAAAACUGGUAAGCUUGAGGAUGUGAGAGGAGAGUGGAAUUCCGAGUGUAGAGGUGAAAUUCGUAGAUAUUCGGAAGAACACCAGUGGCGAAGGCGACUCUCUGGCACAUUUCUGACGCUGAGGUGCGAAAGCGUGGGGAGCAAACAGGAUU